UAGCUCAGUUAGUAGAGCAUGGCGCUUGCAACGCCAGGGUUGUGGGUUCUAUUCCCAC
rnacentral:tRNA from 1 species